ensembl:snRNA U6 U6 spliceosomal RNA
GUACUUCCUUCAGCAGCACAUAUACUAAAAUUGGAAUGAUACAGAGAUUAGCAUGCCCCACACAAAGCUGACAUGCAAAUUCAUGAAGCAUUCCAUACUCAC